GGUCAAGCUAAUAAGGGCUGACGGUGGAUACCUACC
rnacentral:rRNA from 1 species